GAGGGUAUAGCUCCAGCGGUGGAGCAUGUGCUCCGCAUGCAUGAGGUUCUGGGUUCAAUCCCCAGUAACUCCA
rnacentral:tRNA from 1 species